GCUACAGAAAAUGAGGUGAGGUGAGAUCAACGAUGGAAUACCUUUACGUUUGUAUAAGAUUUUACAAGGGAACUUUUUGAUCUGGCAAUGUAGGAUUUUUGGCAAAUUUUUGAAAAUUUAAAAAAAAUCAAAAAAUUUGUUUCAAGGUAGUUUUUUUAGGUUUUUCAUAAAAAAUAGAUUUUUAUUUGUUUUUGAGUCAAAUUAAACUAACGUGAGAAAUUCCUUCAAUUUUACUUCCUUUCAUCAACAAAUUGCAGUUUUGAGUAUCAUUUUUUGAAGCCUCCAGUGAUUUUUCAAUUUUCUCCAGACUUUUCAAAUCGCUCUGGAGAGGCCAAAAAUGAACUUGAGAAUCAAUAACAUGCCACAAGUUUUUAACCAAUUUGUAAAUUCUAGAAAAAAAAUGAAAAAAGUCAAAUUUUCAAAAAAAUAAAAAUAAAAAUAGAAAAAGUACAUGCCAAGUGGGUUUUUGGGAAGAUGUCGUCUGAUCUGUCUAGGCAAUCACCUGACUUGAAAACUAAUCGUGAUUUAACCUUUUGAUCCCUCCAGAGCGACUUGAAAUUUCUGGAGAAAAUUUAAAAAAUCACUGGAAGGCUGUAGGUUCAGAAUGUCCCAAAACUAGGUACCUACUACCUAGUAGUUGUUGAUGUGUGUGAUUUGAAUUAAAGAGAUUAUCCUCAUUGGUUCAUUUUACUCAGAAAUUUAUACUUCAUGAAAAACUUGAAAAAUCGUCCUUAAAACUGCUUUUUUGGAUUUUAUAAAUUUUUAAAAAUUCACCAAAAAUCCAACAGUCAACCUUAGAACCUGAAAUUUUGGUUACAAAAGUUUUAGGACGUGUUGUAUCGACUCAAAGUUUAGCAAAGGUCAAAUCGAAGAGUGCCAGUUCAAAAAGUUACAGUUUUCCAUCACUGAAUAGAAGUCGUUGAGUAAUGAGUCUAGUUACCUGUAUCCUUCUGGGAUGAAUUUCUUAACAUUUCCAGACAAAGGGUAAGACAAUCCGUGGCACAGAUGAACUCCAGCGUUACCGAACCCUACUCCAGCCAUCGUAGAAGCUAAAUGCAUAUUUGAUCUUGCUUCUAUAUCAUCAGCAUUAUAAA